CUGGCUCAGGACGAACGCUGGCGGCGUGCCUAACACAUGCAAGUCGAGCGAGGAGAUUCCUUCGGGAUGAUCCUAGCGGCGGACGGGUGAGUAACACGUGGGCAGCCUGCCUCAUAGAGAGGAAUAGCCUUCCGAAAGGGAGAUUAAUACCUCAUAACAUUGCAGUUUCGCAUGGAACAGCAAUUAAAGGAGUAAUCCGCUAUGAGAUGGGCCCGCGGCGCAUUAGCUAGUUGGUGAGGUAACGGCUCACCAAGGCGACGAUGCGUAGCCGACCUGAGAGGGUGAUCGGCCACAUUGGGACUGAGACACGGCCCAGACUCCUACGGGAGGCAGCAGUGGGGAAUAUUGCACAAUGGGGGAAACCCUGAUGCAGCCAACGCCGCGUGAGUGAUGACGGCCUUCGGGUUGUAAAGCUCUGUCUUCAGGGACGAUAAUGACGGUACCUGAGGAGGAAGCCACGGCUAACUACGUGCCAGCAGCAGC
rnacentral:rRNA from 1 species